ncrna:unclassified sequences Proteo-phage-1 RNA
CCCCGGCCUGGCGGGGCGCGUGACGCGAUAGCCAGGACGCCCCAGCCGGCGGUGGGCGAUCAGGCAAACACCGGCAGCC